rnacentral:rRNA from 1 species
UACAGAGGUCUCGAGCGUUGUUCGGAUUCAUUGGGCGUAAAGGGUGCGUAGGUGGCGCUGUAAGUCGGGUGUGAAAUCCUGAGGCUUAACCUCGGAACUGCAUUCGAUACUGCGGCGCUUGAGGACUGGAGAGGAGACUGGAAUUCAUGGUGUAGCAGUGAAAUGCGUAGAGAUCAUGAGGAAGACCAGUGGCGAAGGCGAGUCCCUGGACAACACCUGACACUGAGGCACGAAAGCUAGGGGGGCAAACAGG